AUAUGGUCUUUCAUUUUCAUUGUGAUUCCUCGUUUCAUGAGAUUCAAUAAAUAGUUCUCUCCGGACACAAAGCUGCAAUUCGAAUCAAUGGCGAAGCUGGAAGAAAUGGACAAUUCCGUGGCCAAAAUCAAGAAGAAUAGGAAUCAUGGGUCCACCAGAUUCUUCGUCUUUGUAGAUUACAUUUUCCUCCUCAUUUUCCUGGGUUUCCUAUCCUUCAUCAUCUUCAAAAUUGUGAACAUUUGAUUCCUUCAAAACCACACAAAACCAGCAUUUUUUUUAUAUUUUAUUUCGAAUGAACCAGGUCUAAUUCCAUACCUGGAGGGUUUAGGCAUGUGCAGUUCUGAUCUGAUCCUAGCAUGUCAUACUUGGAUAAGGAGAUUCUACAACACCCUUAAUACCUUAUUAGUAUACUCAUAUUUUCAGGUGAUUGGCAUAAAAUAUGAUCAAAUUAGUUACACAGUUGCAG
rnacentral:sRNA from 1 species